AGCCGUAGUUCAGGCCGUAGCCGAGGAGACCGUGGCCGUAACCGUAGCUGCCGGCACCAUAGCCGAGGGAGCCAACGCCGUAGCCGUAGUAGGCUGGGGCGGCGUGAGCAACACCGUAGGUGGCGACGGCUGGGGCAGCGUGAGCAACGCUGUAGGUGGCGACAGCUGGAGCAGCGUGGACAGUGGUCACGGCUGGAGCAGCGUGGUAGGUG